UUUAACGCGAACGUCUCUCAAUGUAAGAUCUGUGCGAUGGAGGCAGACUACAUUGACCAUCGCGAACAUCUUCAUCUACUAAGGUUCGUCUAUGCUUAGAGAGUCAUUACUACAAAGACUACACGGACGACAAAGACGAAAUAGGCGUUACCUUAGCCCCGUUUUCAAAAAGUUGGUUAUGAUGAAAAACGAAAUAGACGUUAUCUUAGCCGAAGACAUAGAUAGAGCAAGUAUUUUUGAGGAAACGAGUGUGUUAAGUCGUCUUGACGGGAUCCACUGCUUCAAUGUACCUAUCAUUUCAUGUCUUUUUAUAAUUCCCUUCCCCCAUUCUAUUAUAUACUUAUUUUGUUUAAUACUUGCUACGGUUAUAAAUCAAAUUCUUAAUGUCACAUUGGAAUCAAAUAUACAACAAGCAAAUCAUAUGUAAUUCUAUAAUAUUACAUUACAUACAGAAAAAAGAACAAAAAUCGAAAAUUGGUUUCUAAAAAGCU